AUGCCAGCUACCGGCGAGGGUCCUGGCGCCGCACAGCCGGCGGCGGCGAGGAGGCCGAGCAGGUACGAAUCGCAGAAACGGCGUGACUGGCAGACGUUUGUGCGGUACCUGGCGGCGCACCGCCCACCGCUCGUGCUGCGCCGGUGCAGCGGCGCCCACGUACUCGAGUUCCUCCGCUAUCUCGACCGCUUCGGGAAGACCCGCGUCCACGCGCCGCCCUGCCCGUCCUACGGCGUACACGCGAUAACGGCGACGGCGCCGUGCCCGUGCCCGCUCCGCCAGGCUUGGGGCAGCCUCGACGCGCUCGUCGGCCGCCUACGCGCUGCCUUUGACGAGCGCUACAGCCGCAGCGUCAGCGCGCCGCCGCCGCAGCAGCAAGACGCCAGUUGCAACCCCUUCGCCGCACGCGCCGUCAGGCUAUACCUGCGUGACGUCCGCGAUGCGCAGUCCAGGGCGCGCGGCAUCUCCUACCACAAGAAGAAGAAGAAGCGCAAGCUUGCCACUGGAAGCUGCACCGUGGAGGCCUCGUCCUCCAAGAACGGCGGGUGCGCGGACGGCGUACGCGGGCACAACACUACGACGACGAUGAAGGCUAACGUGGCGCCGGUGCCUCAAGCACCGCCACCGCUGCCGCCUCUGCCGCCAAGCCUGGCCGGGGUACCGUUCGAGUGCGGCUCCGACACGGGAAGCAUCGUUGGAGGAGGAGGAGGGUCUACUGGCGCCGGCUGCUACGGCGGCAUAUACUUGCGGUUGUUCUUCAACGCAUUUAAUUAG
rnacentral:rRNA from 1 species